rnacentral:rRNA from 1 species
GCAGUCGACGGAGUUCUUAAGGAAUGCGACUUCGGUCAAAUGACUUUUGAACUUAGUGGCGGACGGGUGAGUAACGCGUGAGCAACCUGCCUUUCAGAGGGGGAUAACAUUUGGAAACAGAUGCUAAUACCGCAUAAGAUUACAGUACCGCAUGAUACAGUGAUCAAAGGAGCAAUCCGCUGAAAGAUGGGCUCGCGUCCGAUUAGAUAGUUGGUGAGGUAACGGCUCACCAAGUCGACGAUCGGUAGCCGGACUGAGAGGUUGAACGGCCACAUUGGGACUGAGACACGGCCCAGACUCCUACGGGAGGCAGCAGUGGGGAAUAUUGCACAAUGGGCGAAAGCCUGAUGCAGCAACGCCGCGUGAGGGAAGACGGUUUUCGGAUUGUAAACCUCUGUUUUCGGUGACGAACAAAUGACGGUAACCGAGUAGGAAGCCACGGCUAACUACGUGCCAGCAGCCGUGGUAAUACGUAGGUGGCAAGCGUUAUCCGGAAUUACUGGGUGUAAAGGGAGCGCAGGCGGGAUAGCAAGUCAGCUGUGAAAACUAUGGGCUCAACCCAUAAACUGCAGUUGAAACUGUUAUUCUUGAGUGGAGUAGAGGCAAGCGGAAUUCCGAGUGUAGCGGUGAAAUGCGU